rnacentral:rRNA from 1 species
UAGGGAAUCUUCCACAAUGGACGCAAGUCUGAUGGAGCAACGCCGCGUGAGUGAAGAAGGUUUUCGGAUCGUAAAGCUCUGUUGUUGGUGAAGAAGGAUAGAGGUAGUAACUGGCCUUUAUUUGACGGUAAUCAACCAGAAAGUCACGGCUAACUACGUGCCAGUAGCCGCGGUAAUACGUAGGUGGCAAGCGUUGUCCGGAUUUAUUGGGCGUAAAGCGAGCGCAGGCGGAAGAAUAAGUCUGAUGUGAAAGCCCUCGGCUUAACCGAGGAAUUGCAUCGGAAACUGUUUUCUUGAGUGCAGAAGAGGAGAGUGGAACUCCCAUGUGUAGCGGUGGAAUGCGUAGAUAUAUGGAAGAACACCAGUGGCGAAGGCGGCUCUCUGGUCUGCAACUGACGCUGAGGCUCGAAAGCAUGGGGUAGCGAACAGGAUUUAGA